rnacentral:rRNA from 1 species
GACGCAUGUUUCUUUCUUGAAAACUCCGGUGGUACGGGAUGGACCCGCGUCUGAUUAGCUGGUUGGCGGGGUAACGGCCCACCAAGGCGACGAUCAGUAGCCGGCCUGAGAGGGCGGACGGCCACAUUGGGACUGAGACACGGCCCAAACUCCUACGGGAGGCAGCAGUGGGGAAUAUUGCACAAUGGGGGAAACCCUGAUGCAGGGACGCCGCGUGAGUGAAGAAGCGUUUCGGCGCGUAAAGCUCUGUCAGCGGGGAAGAAACACGGUUCGCGAGAGCGGGACGGUACCCGACCAAGAAGCCCCGGCUAACUACGUGCCAGCAGCCGCGGUAAUACGUAGGGGGCAAGCGUUAUCCGGAUUCACUGGGUGUAAAGGGAGCGUAGACGGCGAGACAAGUCUGGAGUGAAAGGCCGGGGCCCAACCCCGGGACUGCUCUGGAAACUGCCUGGCUGGAGUACAGGAGAGGUAAGUGGAAUUCCUAGUGUAGCGGUGAAAUGCGUAGAUAUUAGGAGGAACACCAGUGGCGAAGGCGGCUUACUGGACUGUAACUGACGUUGAGGCUCGAAAGCGUGGGGAGCAAACAGGAUUAGAUACCCUGGUAGUCCACGCCGUAAACGAUGAUCACUAGGUGUCGGGGGUUAGAAGGCCCCCGGUGCCGCAGCCAACGC